rnacentral:rRNA from 1 species
UACGGAGGGUGCAAGCAUUGAUCGGAAUUACUGGGCGUAAAGGGCGCGUAGGCGGCCGCAUAAGUCAGAUGUGAAAUUCCGGGGCUCAACCCCGGAGCUGCAUUUGAAACUGCGCGGCUAGAGUGUAGUUAGGGUAAACGGAAUUCCACGUGUAGCGGUGAAAUGCGUAGAUAUGUGGAAGAACACCGGUGGUGAAGACGGUUUACUGGGCUAUAACUGACGCUGAGGCGCGAAAGCAUGGGGAGCAAACAGG